UGGCUUACCUCCNUCAUUUAUGCGUCAUGACUUGUAUCGUCUUGAGCGUAUUGUGGGUUUCCUGUGUUGCAUACCUUUCUAAUGGUAUCGUGUUGAUUGAUCGAAGUCCCUUUUCAUCUUGUGUUGCUUUUUGUGACGCAUGAUGAACCUCGAGGCGGUCUCUAUGUUCCACUACGUUGAUGCUACUGUUUCGAUGUUGUGGCCCAUUGAGCGUUGCUUGGUUUUGUGGAUACAGAACAUGAUUUGGGCAUAGGGUUACUUGUGACUCUUGUUCUGUCCUUUAUCAGUGUUCUUUAUAACGACGGUUCAUGCGCGCCUAGGCUCGUACCUGCGCGAUGUUCUUUGUCGUAGAGGAAUGCUACCUGGUUGAUCCUGCCAGUAGUCAUAUGCUUGUCUCAAAGAUUAAGCCAU
rnacentral:misc_RNA from 1 species